GACGAACGCUGGCGGCGUGCCUAAUACAUGCAAGUCGAACGCAGUGGGGACGGGUGAGUAACACGUGGGUAACCUCCCAUCAGAGGGGAUAAAACUUGGAAACAGGUGCUAAACCGAUAAAGAAGGAUUGACCAGCGGUGCAGUAGCUAGUUGGUGAGGUAAGGGCUCACCAAGGCCACGAUGCAUAGCCGACCUGAGAGGGUGAUUGGUCACACGUGGACUGAUGCACGGCCCAGACUCCUGCGGAAGGCAGCCGGAGGGAAUCUUCGGCAAUUGACGAAUGUCUGUCCGAGCAACGCCGCUUGAGUUAAGAAGGUUUUCGGAUCGUAAGACUCUGUUGUUAAAGAAGCGGUAUCUAACCAAAAAGCCACGGCUAACUACGUGCCAGCAGCCGCGGUAAUAC
rnacentral:rRNA from 1 species